AACGAUAUUAACGUGGUGAAAGAUC
rnacentral:sRNA from 1 species